UACGAAGGGGGAUAGCGGUGUUCGGCAUUACUGGGCGUAAAGCGCACGUAGGCGGACUUGUAAGUUGGGGGUGAAAUCCCGGUGCUCAAACCCGGAAUUGCCUUCAAGACUGCAAGUCUGGAGGUCAGGAGAGGCGAGCGGAAUUCCGAGUGUAGAGGUGAAAUUCGUAGAUAUUCGGAGGAACACCAGUGGCGAAGGCGGCUCGCUGGACUGAUACUGACGCUGAGGUGCGGAAGCGUGGGGAGCAAACAGG
rnacentral:rRNA from 1 species